GAAAAGAUAUUUGUGACAUCUAAAAACUAUCCCUGCGUUUCCAAACAAUGCACUUGACAUUUCAGGAAAAUACUUAUACAAUGUAAACCCAAUGUUCACGUAAUCUUAAAAAUUAUUUCAUACCUUUCAUAAAUAUCUAGUGACAUUUCUAAAAAAUCAACGUUUCAAGUUCCUUCUUUUUUUAAAUGUUUGUACAAUGCAAAAAAGAAUAUGUAGUUGAAAAGACACGUUUUGUAUCACUCAAUAAAUUAACCUGCAUUAAACAAAAAAAAUUAUCAAAUAUUUUAAACAAUGUACAAAAUAUAUUUUUUACUCAGGUAUUCUAAAAUUAUUAAAUGUGUAUACAAAUGUUCCUGGUGUACAAAAAAAUGUACAAUAUGUAGAAAAAAAACAACAUAUACUUGAAAAAUGUUAAUAAUGUUUUUCAAAACUGUUAAAUGUGUAUAAAAACUAUUCUUGAUUUGCAAAAGUAUUGAACAAUGUGUAUGUCAAAAGUUAACAUGAAAACACAUAUUUAAAUAAAUGUUAAUCAUCUAUUUGAUAAUAUCCAUUUGAAAAAUGUUAUAGAUGUAUAUAUUUCUGAAUGUAUACACAAAUGUACAAUGAAUAUAAAAAUAGGCAUGUAUUAAAAAAGAAGGAAGUCCCAAAAAGUUGGCAAAGAAAUAUACAAAUUCAAAACCUAAAAGGAAACUGUUGAAAACCGACACAGAAAACUGAGUAAAAGGAAAUGAAAAAAAAUCCAGAAAGAACGGAUAAAAGGAAACCCAAAAUAAUGUUGGAAGGUUCUAAAACCUGUCUAUAGAACCUUUGUAAAACUGGUCAUAGAACCUUCCAAAAAUCAUUUUAAGGGGCCAACCAACUUUUUUUUUUGAGGGGCCAACCAACUAAAAAGGAGGCGAGAAGCAGCCCUGAUGCCUGCCACAGAACUAGGUGGGCCAGACCAGGAAAACGAAAUGCAUUAAUAGAACAAAAAAACACACACAAAAAUGUACUGUCGUGAGGAAUCGAACACACGCUGUUCAUAUACAAUGCACAUAGCCAAACCAAUAGAGCCACUAGCAGCUAUGAGUAGUUACAACACUGAAUAUUUAAGAACAGCGGUACAUAACCAUUUAUUACACAUACAUUUAGAAAAAUGAGAUUUCAUCUGAAACAAUAAUGUGAACAAAAACUGAAAGUUACGUGAUUCAAAAAAUAAUCAUGAUUUUUUAUGUAUUCAAAAAAGUUCAUGAAUUAGGCAAAAAACUAAAUGAUUAAAAAAAAGUUCACAAUAUUUGCAAAAGAGACAUUGAUUUUGAAAACAAAACUUCAUCAAUUUUCAAAAAUUGGGAAAAAAUCAUUGAUUUUGAGAAACAGUU
rnacentral:lncRNA from 1 species